rnacentral:rRNA from 1 species
UACGAAGGGGGCUAGCGUUGUUCGGAAUUACUGGGCGUAAAGCGCACGUAGGCGGAUAUUUAAGUCAGGGGUGAAAUCCCAGAGCUCAACUCUGGAACUGCCUUUGAUACUGGGUAUCUCGAGUAUGGAAGAGGUGAGUGGAAUUCCGAGUGUAGAGGUGAAAUUCGUAGAUAUCGGGAGGAACACCGGUGGCGAAGGCGGCGACCUGGGUUGACAUUGACGCUGAGGCGCGAAAGCGUGGGGAGCAAACAGG